rnacentral:rRNA from 1 species
AUGGUGUCGUGGAGCGACGAGACCAGUGAGGAUUCAGUGCUGAACAUCUCCUCCUCCUAUGAUGGCAUCAUCAAGCUUCCUGCUACGAUGCACGAUCCGAAUUUCAAUGGCAUUGACGCAGAUGUGAAUGUUUUGUGUGAACACAACUCAAUGGAGAAGGCAUUGGCCAAGCUAUGGGAUAUGUAUGAGGAGAUUAAGUCAGCUAGGACCAAUGACAAUCUAGAGAGUUCAUUUGCAAUCCACAACCUGACAGAAGAGAAGAAGAAACUACAGGAGAAUUAUGACAGUUUGUAUGCUGAUGUGAAUGCUCUUUUGGAUGCCCAGCAGCAGAGGGGUGUGGAGUUAGCCAAUCAAAAGGAGCAGAAGCAAUAUCUUGAAAUUAAGAUUGCCGAGCUAGAAACUGUAGUUGGCAACUUGAAGGUAGAGCUGUCAAAGAAAGAGGAGGAGAAGAAGAAACUACAGGAGAACUAUGACAGUUUGUAUGCUGAUGUGAAUUCUCUCUUGGAUGCCCAACAGCAGAGGGUGGGGAACUUGAAGGCACAACUGUCAAAGACAGAGGAGGAGAAGAAGAAGAUGCUGCAAAACUAUGAAACUCUGAAGAACCUGGCAGGUGCUCAAGCCAAUGUGAUUAGGAACUUGAAGUUCAAUCAUUUGAAGGAGAAGGAGAGGCUGACAGAAGAGAGGCUUAAACUGCAGCAUCACAUUUCUGAGCUUCAAAAGUCUGAGGAAAAGAUAAAGUUGAAGCUUCAGGGUGUGAAGUCCAUCUUAGAUGAGUAG